AUUCUCCUGCCUCUGUCCACACUCUCCAAAUACUGACAUUAAAGGUGUGUGGCUCCACAUCUGGCCUCAAACUGUUAUGGCUGCUGGAGGCACUCCGUGGUGAUUUCAGAAGAUCUCUCCUCUAAACGUUCCGGUCCCGAAAUAAGGAGCAGAAUCAACAAUGUGUCACUUCUGUGUGGGAGCAGGCUCAACAAGCGCUUCAGCCACAUAGAGCAACAAUUGCCGGUUUCUUACUGUUUUCUGAAUGGGUUGGGUGGAGGCCAUCUAUGUGGAUGCUUCUAUCCUGAGAGCACAAAGCUGCGAAUGUUAAGCAUUGUCAACAGAG